GAUGAAGAACGUAGCGAAAUGCGAUAAGUAAUGUGAAUUGCAGAAUUCAGUGAAUCAUCGAAUCUUUGAACGCACCUUGCGCCCUUUGGCCAUUCCGAAGGGCAUGCCUGUUUGAGUAUCAUGAACACCUCAACUCUUUAUGGUUUUCCAUGAUGAGCUUGGACUCUGGGGGUUUUGCUGGCUCACAGUCGGCUCCUCUAAAAUGAAUCAGCUUACCAGUGUUUGGUGGGUAUCAUGGGUGUGAUAUCUAUCUACGCUUGUGGUUUUUCCACCAGGUAACCUUCAGCAGUGGAGGUUCGCUGGAGCUCAUAGAUGUCUCUCCUCAGUGAGGACAGCCCUUUGAAUGUUUGAUCUCAAAUCAGGUAGGACUACCCGCUGAACUUAAGCAUAUCAAUAAGCGGAGGA
rnacentral:misc_RNA from 1 species